AUUGAACGCUGGCGGCAUGCCUUACACAUGCAAGUCGAACGGCAGCACGGGUGCUUGCACCUGGUGGCGAGUGGCGAACGGGUGAGUAAUACAUCGGAACGUACCUUAUCGUGGGGAUAACGCAGCGAAAGUUGCGCUAAUACCGCAUACGCCCUGAGGGGGAAAGCGGGGGACCGUAAGGCCUCGCGCGAUUAGAGCGGCCGAUGUCUGAUUAGCUUGUUGGUGAGGUAAAAGCUCACCAAGGCGAUGAUCAGUAGCUGGUCUGAGAGGACGAUCAGCCACACUGGGACUGAGACACGGCCCAGACUCCUACGGGAGGCAGCAGUGGGGAAUUUUGGACAAUGGGGGCAACCCUGAUCCAGCAAUGCCGCGUGAGUGAAGAAGGCCUUCGGGUUGUAAAGCUCUUUUGUCAGGGAAGAAACAGCAGCUCUAACACAGUCUGCGAAUGACGGUACCUGAAGAAUAAGCACCGGCUAACUACGUGCCAGCAGCCGCCGCAG
rnacentral:rRNA from 1 species